rnacentral:sRNA from 1 species
GAGGGUAAUUUGGUCAUU